AUAUCAAUAAGCGGAGGAAAAGAAACCAACAGGGAUUGCCUCAGUAACGGCGAGUGAAGCGGCAACAGCUCAAAUUUGAAAUCUGGCUUCCGUAUGGGGGUCCGAGUUGUAAUUUGGAGAGGGUGCUUCGGCGCAGGCCUCGGCCUAAGUCCUUUGGAACAAGGCGUCACAGAGGGUGAGAAUCCCGUACGUGGCUGCCGGCAUGUGCCAUGUGAAGCCCCUUCGACGAGUCGAGUUGUUUGGGAAUGCAGCUCUAAAUGGGAGGUAAAUUUCUUCUAAAGCUAAAUACCGGCCAGAGACCGAUAGCGCACAAGUA
rnacentral:rRNA from 1 species